UUUUUAUCUACGGCUGGUUUCUGCAGAUCAAAAUGUUGCGAAGCCUCAGCGAGAGUGGAAAAGCGCGAGACUAUCUUUGUUCCACACCUUGAGCUCAGCCAAAUAACCCAGAAGUAUGUUACACAGUAAUAAAUGUUUCCCAUGGAGAAAAAGUUCUCUAUUUUAUGCAUUUAUGAUUGGCGCCCGCAAAUGACGGAUCGAUUGAAGGCGCUUAAAAAUCGCGAUUUCGGUUUCGGUUUCUGAUUGCGCGAAGCGCCACCUGCUUCCUGCUGCAAGCGUCGUGGCGACUUCCUGUUUACUUUUCUGGCUCCAACGCGUGCGUUCAACUUCCAAACUUCUGCGCUGUUCUACGUGACAUUGUGAAAUCUAUAUGGAUAUAUACGUGGUGGUCCUAUGUAGCACCACCCGGAGCAUCAAGCACCAAUAUUUGAUAUGCGACACUUUGCCUACUGGUCGUCAGAAGUCACACUGCGAAAAAAGUUCGGCAUAUCCCUCGCCUUGUGGGAAUCGGUUCCAUGCAAAGCAGUCAGCGAGUAGCUGUGCGUGCUGCAUUUUUUGGCUUUGAGCCAAGGAAUACAAAUGUAAAGCUUAUUAGACUGCUUGAAAAGCAGAGCUAACACUGGAACCGCCAUUAAAAUUAUCCCGACAUGACGCCUGAAUCAUAGGAGUAUCUCGCAGAUGUUGAACAGCUGAUGGCGGAAGGAGAAUGCCAAUAUCUUCCUUGUACAUUUCAAAACAAUUCUUGAACAUGUAAUUCCCGUCCAGAAGUGUUGC